UGAACGCUGGCGGCGUGCCUAACACAUGCAAGCGAACGGAGAUUAGACGCUGACGAGACUCGGUCAAAUCUGUUAAUCUUAGUGGCGGACGGGUGAGUAACGCGUGGGCAACCUGCCUCAUACUGGGGGAUAGCAGUUGGAAACGACUGAUAAUACCGCAUAAGCGCACGAGAUCGCAUGAUCUAGUGUGAAAAACUCCGGUGGUAUGAGAUGGGCCCGCGUCAGAUUAGCUAGUUGGUAAGGUAACGGCUUACCAAGGCGACGAUCUGUAGCCGGACUGAGAGGUCGGACGGCCACAUUGGGACUGAGACACGGCCCAAACUCCUACGGGAGACAGCAGUGGGGGAUAUUGCACAAUGGAGGAAACUCUGAUGCAGCGACGCCGCGUGAGUGAAGAAGUAUUUCGGUAUGUAAAGCUCUAUCAGCAGGGAAGAAAGGCUCGUAAGAGAGAUGACGGUACCUGACUAAGAAGCCCCGGCUAACUACGUGCCAGCCGCGGC
rnacentral:rRNA from 1 species